CCUGUUGCCUUCCUUGCCUCUUGGAAUCAUGUCAAGAGAGAAAAGUCGCCUCAAAGCUGCGGGUCUGCAGCCCUGUGCAGGAAGUUGGCACCGAUCCCAGGCAGCGCAAAAGGCACCCCCAGAUUGCAGUGACGUCAUUUUCUCCUCUCUUCCAAGUUUCACAAAGAUUGGCUGUGUGUAUGAAUGUCUAUGAAUGGUGCAUUUGUAUAGUAAUGUUGUUACAAAGAAAGUCUAAAGUUUAAAAACAUCCAGGAUAUCAUUGAACUGCUGAAGCUUCAAAGGCAUGACAAAUACUUAAAAUUGUGAGAGAUUUAAUCUUAAAGGACUCAGCAUGAUUUUACAGGUGAGUACAUAUAGCUGAAUCCUGACUCACAGAAUCAAGAGUUGAUUCAAUUUUAAAUUGCAAAUCUAUAGAGGUGGGCUUAUCUUGCAAGUCUGCCAAGAUGGCUUUUACUUUCUACAAUGCACUCCUUUAUUUUGCAACAAAAUUUUGUAUCUUUUUCUAACAAUGAGGAGCAAUGGUAGCAGCUAAACAGUUUUUAGAAAUAAUAUCUUAUUUUUUUAAAAGAACAAACAAGCCACAAUAUAAUGAAAGUAUGCCAGGACCCACUGAUAUGAAAACACCUACAUUGAAAACUUAACUUUUAAAUUCUGAUUCAAAACUUGGAAAUGAAAUCUUGUAAUAUGAGCAAAUUUCAAACUUUUUAUCUCACCUUUUGCUUGAGCCAAGCUUCAAAACUAUAAACCUUUCUAGGUAUGCUCUGACAUAGAUACUCAAGUGUUUGAAUAAUUUAAUGACUGUGCUGGUCAAUUUUGAGUGGGGGAGAAGAUGAGCAACUAAACUCUUUUCUUCCAUCAUACAUCAUUUUCCAACUUCAUCUUUGAGAAUUAAAGCCAUAGUUGCUUUAAACUUUUAUUUGAACCAUGUUUUUUGUUAAGAACCCUGCUUGAAAAAUAACAAAAAUGCAUUGAAAAAUUGGAAGAUUAACACUUCUCAGUUACAAUUUUUUGGAAAACAGCAGGUCUCUUCAUAAUGCUGGGGGUGGGGAAAUGAAAUGGAAAAUCUGUUCAAGAUGAUACCAUUAUCUCCAAAAGGAACUAGAUAUAAAACACACAGGAAACAAACAAAAAGGGAGAUGGGCAUAAUAUGCCUUCCUUCAAGAUAGAUGAAAAAUAUAAGAGAACGACACAAUUAUACACCAUGAAUAUUAAAUAAAUGAACCAAUUGCCAGUUUGUCCCUGAGAAAGGCUGAAGAAUUACAAAACGGGAGGUACUUAGUGACUUUGCUCAAGGAAAUAGUUCUCAAAAUUCAAAACAGCUGUAUUAUGCUAA